rfam:Metallosphaera yellowstonensis MK1 genomic scaffold MetMK1scaffold_17, whole genome shotgun sequence.
GGACCCGUCGUCUAGCCUGGUUAGGACGCAGCCCUCACACGGCUGAGGUCGAGGGUUCAAAUCCCUCCGGGUCCA